rnacentral:lncRNA from 1 species
AUUGUAGUGUAAUAUUUAUGCCUACUAUACUGUAUAACACGUUAUUCAAAAGGGAUAUGCCAUUUCUGAGACACGAUAACAAAAAAAAAGUUUGAGGAAAUUAUUUUGCUUCUAUUUAUAGCUCUGUCAAAAGUCAGAAGACUCUAAAUGCUUUGCAAAAAUGGUUUCACAUUUGCUUAAAUGCUUCAUCACAGUCACAUUUAAAAUAGUGACUCUAAACAAAGAAGAAAGCAGCACUGUCAUCAGAUGCAUGAUAAACCAAAAUAUGAAAAUGGGAAAUGUUUAAUUAACCUAGUCAUUGGGUGGGUUAAGUACAUGGGUGAAUUUUAUAUGGGCCAGGUCACUGGUAGUUCUAGUAUGGAAUGGGAGAAGUGAAAGUUCAGUUCUAGAACUUUCCAUACUUCCAAGUUUACUGCAAGUU